rnacentral:lncRNA from 1 species
CACAUCUCUUGGAGUUCUAGCUCACCUUUCUGGUGUUGUUCUUGUACUCAUCUGUUUAAUCUAGUUUUGCCACUUCUUCUUGAACUUCUUGUUAGAUUUCAAGUCUGUAUUUUGUGUCCGUGACAGUUUGUCGAGACUACACUAACUUGAGAUAUCAGAGCUAGUUCUUUCUUAAUAGAGUGUGGAUUACCCCUCUACUUGAAGGUAUACUAGCAUUUUUUAGAGGUUGCGGAUUACCCUCCUCUAAACUGAUACUUCUUCUGUUACAAUAUUGGAGUCUUAUUCUUCUUGGAGAGAGUGGAUUACCCCUCUUCUUGAAAUUCUUAAGGCAUUUUAUAGGUUGUGGAUUAC